CUGCUUAGUUUGAAUGAAUGAUCUCAGUUCAAAAGAGCUCAUAAUGCCCUGCAUAAUAAUCUCAAAAUCAGGUUGCUUGGGAAAUAAAAUGAAAAUUGCUGCUCCAUAUGCAACUGUUGCAGCUCCUCUUAAUUAAUUGGCAAAAUAUUGGAAUAGAAGAGUCCAUGCUAAAAAUCUAAAAAUCGCUCAUCAGUGUUUGUAUAAGGAUGGAAUUCUCUAGGAGUAAUAAGUUAAUAACCGAAAAAGACACAAGGUCCAACAGUGAACUUAUCACUGCAUGCUAGAGUAUUAAACAACUAGCGGCAUUAAUAAUUGUACAGGAAAAUUAUUAUACAGUUGAUAUCUAAUUCUCUUCUGGAGCAGGCAUCAGCCGAAGCCUUCCCUCUGAUGGCUGAUUACCACCAGAAAACCUCUCUUCUGCCAAUAAAGACUGUAAAUCACUACCAUUGGCCAAACUGUUGAAUUCUACUGCUUUAGAUGGCACAGUUGGAUAGCGCCGUUGGCAAAAGGUCAUCAAUCUCUUGACCGACUGUAAGUAUUUGCGGGUAGUCUCAUCAUUCAUGAUGUGGGCCACGCUAUUGGUGUAAAUCUUCUCACGAGCUGAACGUUCAUGAAUGCCAACCAUGGUAACUCCAAUUGGCCACGGUGCAUUACCAAUUGCCAGCUUAAUAUAAUGAUCCAUGGCAGCUAGGUAGUCUCGCUUCAUGCAGCACUCAACCACCACUAGCAACGCUUGACGAAUAUCAUCAGGAAGAACCUUCUUCCUGCAAAACUUGAAUAAUGGAUUCAGAUACCUGGCGCACUGUUUAAAGGUAGCAACCAUUGACUUCCCUUUAGCCGUCCGCUUCUCUGCGUCAGGCAUCUCAUCCAACUCCUGUUUCCACUCAUUCAACAGCCUUUUGAAGAACACCAGAAUCUUAUCCUCAUCACACAACUCUUCAAAAUUGGCCUUCAUCCGCUUCAAAUCCUUAUCAGCAUCGACACCACUAGAGCCACCAUCGGCACUCAGCUCCCCCUCCCCUUCCCCUACCUCUCCAUCCUCUCCACCUCCUUCCUCCCUAUCCUUCCUUUUCCGCUCGCUCAGAAUUCCGGUCUUCUGGCGCUUUCUGAGCUCAGCAAUAUCACGCAAAAAGUCAUUGGUCUGCCCCUCAGUCAUGUCGUUAUCGACCUCGAAGAUUCCAGCCUUCAAGACGUACUUCAACCUGUCAAGCCGAGCAUCGUCGUCUUCACCAAAGAGAGUGAUGGGCUGUUUUAGGAACCGAAGGCGGCGGAUGACCUCUUGUUUAGGGAGGACAAGGUUGUCGAUGUUUUGUUCAUUGGUUAGGGAUUUGGAUGUCGUGGGGAUGGAGGUGGAGGUGGUAGCGGUGGCAGUAGCAGUGGCGGUGGCAGUGGAUUUUGUGGAGGUUGUGGUUGUAGAGGCAGCUGCGGGUUGG
rnacentral:misc_RNA from 1 species